CAUACAAUUAAACAACUUUUAAGAGGUUCACAUUAUAUAUACCCACAUACCUAUUACAUAUACCCACCUACCUAGUGAAAUAUCACCAUUAGAAAAGAACAUUUUUUCCUCAAAAUCAUGAAUAUGAAAAACCUCUUGAUCAUUUUGCUUAUUUUCUCAUUUGCUUUUGGAAAGCCUGUGGCAUUGAAAAUCCCGAAACCAAAAAGGUGUGAAUUUGUUGAACGUGACUAUUGUGACCCGUGGAGGGGUUUCUUUUGCCAAGAAUUUUGCAUGAUGAAUUGUCCAUCAUUUACUGCGAAAGGAGUUUGUACCAAAGACAGAGUUUGUCAUUGUCAUUGUUGUGAAUAAAAUGUUAUUUGUGACUAUGGAAUAUUCACUAUGUGAAUUGUUAGCUAAUAAUAAAUAAAUUAAUAAAAUGCACCCAUUGCUCUAGAUCAAAA